rnacentral:lncRNA from 1 species
UUCUGUCAACAAACUUCCCACACUUCUGCUUAAAUUCUUCUAUGAUAGAGAUGGCAAAUGCAGUUUUUAUUUUUCUUACAGACCAGAUUGCUGGCUUGCUGGGUCAAACCACUGGCUGCAAUUCCCUCUUGCAGAGGUGGAGGACCUGGAAGGUUUGUGGAGACUACAGUGUCCAUGACAGAUUGGGUAGCUGAAAUGCUUAGCACUACAGUUGAGUUAAUGAAGAACAAUGGGAUGGGUCAUUUUCCCAGGGAGUUCCAAGAACUUGAAAAGCUGUGAUUACUUGAUCCAAUUUGCAACUGAUGAAAGCCCAUUUCCUUGGUUGAUGUGGGCCUGAUAUGUAACUCAGCUGUCUUCAGGAUACCUUAGAAAGAGAACUUCUGAAGUGUGCUUGGGAUACCUGGCCAUGCAUUUUCUGGAAACAAGCCAGAAAAUCCUCUCUUUGUAUAUGAAGGAUCAUUUCCUCUGGACCUUACUAAAAUCUGCUCCACCGUGCAGCUUUGGACUGCUCAUAAGCACCAGGUGCUGCUCUUGGACUAGGUUCUAAAGGAAAAGGCAACCUGUAUGAACUGGACACUCAGCUACCUGCAUUCCUUGGCGUGCCUUCUGAGAUGCACAACCAGCACACCUU